rnacentral:rRNA from 1 species
AACCCAGCGAACUGAAAUAUCUAAGUAGCUGGAGGAAAGGACAUCAACCGAGACUCCGUUAGUAGUGACGAGCGAACGCGGACCAGGCCAGUGGCCAUUAAGAAGAUAACCGGAAUAAUCUGGAAAGAUUAGCCAUAGUAGGUGAUAGCCCCGUACGGGUAAUGCUUCUUUUUGGUCCUUGAGUAGGGCGGGACACGAGAAAUCCUGCUUGAACAUGGGGGGACCACCCUCCAAGCCUAAGUACUACUCUGUGACCGAUAGUGAACAAGUACCGUGAGGGAAAGGUGAAAAGAACCCCUAUAAGGGGAGUGAAACAGACCUGAAACCGAAUGCUUACAAACAGUAGGAGCUACAUUAAGUAGUGACUGCGUACCUUUUGUAUAAUGGGUCAGCGAGUUAAUUUAUUGAGCAAGCUUAAGCCGUUAGGUGUAGGCAUAGCGAAAGCGAGUCUGAAUAGGGCGUUUUAGUUCGAUGGAUUAGACCCGAAACCGGGUGAUCUAGCUAUGGGCAGGUUGAAGGUGCGGUAACACGCACUGGAGGACCGAACCCACGUCUGUUGAAAAAGACGGGGAUGACCUGUGGCUAGGGGUGAAAGGCCAAUCAAACCCGGAGAUAGCUGGUUCUCCGCGAAAACUAUUUAGGUAGUGCGUCAUAUAUUACUGCCGGGGGUAGAGCACUGGAUGGGCUAGGGGAGCGCGAGCUUUACCAAACCUAACCAAACUCCGAAUACCGGUAAGUACAGUAUGGCAGACAGUCCAUGGGUGCUAAGGUCCUUGGACGAGAGGGAA